GGAUGUAAGGGCAAUCUGACUGCAACAUCUGUUAUCCUAUUAUUGUCUAAGGUCAAUUUGGUUAAUCUGAUUUGCUAAGCAGGUGCUCCUUUUCUGCCUCAUUGUCCCCCUUACUCCAAAAGCUUUGAGCCUAGUUGAAAAAGACAAUCAUCCUCCAAAGAGAAGUACUGGUUUUUGGUUGAGUGUAUAUAAGAUAUUGGGCCUUCCUGCUAGAAAAGAGAAUGAAGCAGUGGUCCUAUUUUAAUGCUCCAAAUAUUAAAUUGCAUUUUCCUCAUGAUUGUUUAUCAUU
rnacentral:snRNA from 1 species